UACGGAGGGUGCAAGCGUUAUCCGGAUUUAUUGGGUUUAAAGGGUGCGUAGGCGGGUUAUUAAGUCAGUGGUGAAAGCCUGCAGCUUAACUGCAGAAUUGCCAUUGAUACUGAUGAUCUUGAGUAUGAUUGAGGUGGGCGGAAUGUGUCAUGUAGCGGUGAAAUGCUUAGAUAUGACACAGAACACCGAUUGCGAAGGCAGCUCACUAAGUCA
rnacentral:rRNA from 1 species